GCCGGCGUAGCUCAGGCGGUUAGAGCGAGGGACUCAUAAACCCUAGGUCGGAGGUUCGAAUCCUCCCGCCGGCACAA
rnacentral:tRNA from 1 species